GCCGGCUAGCCGGUGCAGGAUCCACAAUCUUCAAGGGUGGCCAGGUGCUUCCAAGAUCCUAAACGCAGUUAACCACUCGGCGAGGUAGAAAACAGGCCCAGAGAAGUUCAAGAACUUGCUGUAGAAGAUUACUGAACGAGUAAGCAGCAGAGGCCGGUCUAGAACCAGCCCCGUGUGCCCUUCUGACAGCGCAGCAGCAGCACUUAACACCUAACCGGCUUGGCUAAAUUCUAUGUGAGAGGCACUGGUGCUGACGGUAAAAAUAAAAACAAAACACCAUCCAGUCCAGAGGCAGCUUACAGCUCAAUAGAGAAGGAUGAAUUCAAAAUUCUUCUGGCAUUAUUACUUGCCAAAGAAGAGUGGGGACAUGUGUCCCUCUUCUGCCAUACUGUGACCUGGACAGAAGAAAGUGAAUAACGACAUUUUUCUCCCUGAAGCCUUCGGGAGCUUGGCCUGCAGAAGCCUCUUCUUGGUUAGGACUCAGAACCCUCUCAGAACAUUGUGACCUGCCAGAGCUGGCAUUGCACAGAGACCUUCCUGGGCAACCCUUGAUUCACCGUCCCAUAAAUGUCCAGAUGGAGGAAGUGGUCUGGGGAAGAUGGACCAUUACGAAGAUUAAUGCACCUUUUA
rnacentral:lncRNA from 1 species